rnacentral:rRNA from 1 species
UACGAAGGGGGCUAGCGUUGCUCGGAAUCACUGGGCGUAAAGCGCACGUAGGCGGAUUGCUAAGUCAGGGGUGAAAUCCUGGAGCUCAACUCCAGAACUGCCUUUGAUACUGGCGACCUUGAGUCCGGGAGAGGUGAGUGGAACUGCGAGUGUAGAGGUGAAAUUCGUAGAUAUUCGCAAGAACACCAGUGGCGAAGGCGCUCACUGGCCCGGUACUGACGCUGAGGCGCGAAAGCCAGGGGAGCGAAUGGG